rnacentral:rRNA from 1 species
GUGGGGAAUAUUGGACAAUGGGCGCAAGCCUGAUCCAGCCAUGCCGCGUGAGUGAUGAAGGCCCUAGGGUUGUAAAGCUCUUUCACCGGAGAAGAUAAUGACGGUAUCCGGAGAAGAAGCCCCGGCUAACUUCGUGCCAGCAGCCGCGGUAAUACGAAGUGGGCUAGCGUUGUUCGGAAUUACUGGGCGUAAAGCGCACGUAGGCGGACAUUUAAGUCAGGGGUGAAAUCCCGGGGCUCAACUCCGGAACUGCCUUUGAUACUGGGUGUCUGGAGUAUGGAAGAGGUAAGUGGAAUUCCGAGUGUAGAGGUGAAAUUCGUAGAUAUUCGGAGGAACACCAGUGGCGAAGGCGGCUUACUGGUCCAUUACUGACGCUGAGGUGCGAAAGCGUGGGGAGCAAACAGGAUUAGAACCCCCGGUAGUCC